AUGAGUGUGAUGAGGAUUGAUCCAUCUAUUGCAAAGUGCACAAGAGAAGAUAGAGAAAAAAGAUCAAACCCUAACACCCAAAAUAGAUCUGAAGUUAUACCUAUUAUGUCUGUGCAAGAACUUGCCAGGAAUGAGAAAUCUCGAGUUUGCAUUAUAGGGAUUUUGCUGAUGAGGAACUCAAGGAUAAGAUUUUCUGCAUUCGUUUUCCAUCCAUUGAAACUACAUAUGAGCUCUUCUGAUUUUUAA